rnacentral:rRNA from 1 species
GACGAACGCUGGCGGCGUGCUUAACACAUGCAAGUCGAACGGAAAGGCCCUUUUUUUGUGGGGUGCGUGGGUGGCGAACGGGUGAGACACAAGUAAGUUACCUUCCCCUUACUUUUGGCUUACUUCAAGAAACUGGGGGUCCUACCCGGAAUGCGCUCCUGCUGGAUGGGGUGGGAUGGAUAGUUUCGGCGGUUGGGGAUGGACUCGCGGCUUAUCAGCUUGUUGGUGGGGUAGUGGCUUACCAAGGCUUGGACGGGUAGCCGGCCUGGGAGGGUGACCGGCCACAUUGGGACUGAGAUACGGCCCAGACUCCUACGGGAGGCAGCAGUGGGGAAUAUUGCACAAUGGGCGGAAGCCUGAUGCAGCAACGCCGCGUGCGGGAUGACGGCCUUCGGGUUGUAAACCGCUUUCGCCUGUGACGAAGCGUGAGUGACGGUAAUGGGUAAAGAAGCACCGGCUAACUACGUG